rnacentral:rRNA from 1 species
UACGUAGGUGGCAAGCGUUGUCCGGAAUCACUGGGCGUAAAGCGCGCGCAGGCGGCGAUCUACGUCUGGGGUGAAAGCCCGGAGCUCAACUCCGGGACUGCCUUGGAUACGGGAUCGCUUGAGGAUUGGAGAGGCAAGGGGAAUUCCACGUGUAGCGGUGAAAUGCGUAGAUAUGUGGAGGAACACCGGUGGCGAAGGCGGCAUCCUGGACCGACACUGACGCUGAGGAGCGAAAGCCAGGGGAGCAAACGGG